rnacentral:rRNA from 1 species
AUUGAACGCUGGCGGCAGGCCUAACACAUGCAAGUCGAACGGUAACAGGAAGAAGCUUGCUUCUUUGCUGACGAGUGGCGGACGGGUGAGUAAUGUCUGGGAAACUGCCUGAUGGAGGGGGAUAACUACUGGAAACGGUAGCUAAUACCGCAUAACGUCGCAAAACCAAAGAGGGGGACCUUCGGGCCUCUUGCCAUCGGAUGUGCCCAGAUGGGAUUAGCUAGUAGGUGGGGUAACGGCUCACCUAGGCGACGAUCCCUAGCUGGUCUGAGAGGAUGACCAGCCACACUGGAACUGAGACACGGUCCAGACUCCUACGGGAGGCAGCAGUGGGGAAUAUUGCACAAUGGGCGCAGCCUGAUGCAGCCAUGCCGCGUGUAUGAAGAAGGCCUUCGGGUUGUAAAGUACUUUCAGCGGGGAGGAAGGGAGUAAAGUUAAUACCUUUGCUCAUUGACGUUACCCGCAGAAGAAGCACCGGCUAACUCCGUGCCAGCAGCCGCGGUAAUACGGAGGGUGCAAGCGUUAAUCGGAAUUACUGGGCGUAAAGCGCACGCAGGCGGUUUGUUAAGUCAGAUGUGAAAUCCCCGGGCUCAACCUGGGAACUGCAUCUGAUACUGGCAAGCUUGAGUCUCGUAGAGGGGGGUAGAAUUCCAGGUGUAGCGGUGAAAUGCGUAGAGAUCUGGAGGAAUACCGGUGGCGAAGGCGGCCCCCUGGACGAAGACUGACGCUCAGGUGCGAAAGCGUGGGGAGCAAACAGG